UACAGAGGUCCCGAGCGUUGUUCGGAUUCAUUGGGCGUAAAGGGUGCGUAGGCGGUCUGCUAAGUUUGAUGUGAAAUCCCGGGGCUCAACCCUGGAAUGGCAUUGAAUACUGGCGGACUAGAGUACGGAAGAGGCGAGUGGAAUUCCUGGUGUAGCGGUGGAAUGCGCAGAUAUCAGGAGGAACACCAAUAGCGAAGGCAGCUCGCUGGGACGUUACUGACACUGAGGCGCGAAAGCGUGGGGAGCGAACAGG
rnacentral:rRNA from 1 species